UCAACAAAGUCGUCAUCGAUAUCAAAACACGCCAACCGUUAUCACAACGAGCAUCUGCCAAGCUUAACGACUCUCCACAAAGUUAAAGCCGGAGUAAACCGUUGACAAAAGCAGCAUACAUCCCGAUCCAGACACUUGACUCUGCUUCACAGAAGUUACAGAAACAAUCAGGACAACACACAGCGUAGCUGGAACGAGGUUGCGAGAUUCACUCUGACCUUCUCCAUGUCGGGAGAAAUCAAUCUUGACCAAGCUUCCCAAAAAAGAGAGCCUAAUAGUGGCAUCUACAACAAACCCUAAGGAGACCGCAGGAGCGAAACGUCACCUGCGACGCAAUUAUUCAGAACCUGUAAGACAACACGUAUUACACACAUGACACGCGAUAACCGAUCUCGACAACUACCCGAUCUCGAGAACUACCCGAUCUUGACGAUUAUCCCGAUUUUGUCAAGGUUACUUAUCUGAACCACUCCUCGACCAGGGCGCAGAGGCAAAACGUCACCUAAGACGCAGCUGUUCAGUAAGCACGCCAAGCAUGCGAACCGUAACACCAAAGGCCAACUGCAAAAUACCCAAUCACCUUUGGCUAUGCACACAGGCAAGGCCUGGCAACGAAGCGCAACGUCGCGCGAAACACCGUAAGCCGAUUGAAAAAUCGCGUAUCUGGAAAACGUAAUGAGCAAAAACUCUUCAUCUACCUCCUCGCAAGUACAGCUUGAUGUACAGCUAAGUCCGCUAUCCAACGUAGCCAACAAGAUCAUCUUCGAUGUCAAAAACACGCUAAGCGGUAAUUCUACCACCUCUGCCAACUACGACAUUUUUUCACCAACCAUGACAACAAAUGUUAAAGCUUAGAGAUCAACCUCUACCAAACCACAUAAUACGCUAAGCACGCUAAGAAAUACGCUAUGGUGCUAAGCACCAUACCAUCACAACAGAUGAUGACGAUGCAAUUGUACAUCAAGAAUUGACGCACUAACCACAAAAAAUAAUAUGCCACGGAUCAAGCACAGUAGCAAAGGGGGUCACCAAGAAAAAGAUCUAAAGGAACGCGAUCUGAGGGCGCGGUUUAACCCUCAUUCUGGGCUCUUGGUGAUUUAGAAGACUAAAUCCUUCUUCGCCCUGAACUUCUGUUGCUAUUUCGAAACCAAACCAGCACAAAAACCUAGUAUUAAUGUUGUAUUAGUUCUACUUUGUAAGAUCUUUCUCAUUAGUUUAUAACAUGAUAUUUGAUCUUGAUAUUUGUGAGCUGCUUCAGUAGAACCGUCUAGAAAAUUCAGGCUUCGAAGGAGUAUUUUGCCAGACGAGCUGGCGUAGAUCGACACCAUCUGCCAAAACUCGUUGGCUUAGAGUUUGUUAUUAGUUUUGCCUAAUACUAUUGGCGUUAUGUUCUUCAGUUUUUCUGCCAUGAAUCGAUGGCGUUGAGAUUAUGAUUAUUAUGGUUAAGAUGAGAUUAUGAUUAGCUUUGCAUAUAUUCAGUUAUGUAGUUUAUCACCAGUGCACGGUGAAUUGUGAUCGAGCUUCGCUCGAUAGUUAGUCGAUCAACACUCCUUAUUCGAAUGCCUAGUGGCGUGAUUAAGAAUUUUUCAUGAAUCGCUGUCACGAUUCAUGAAAAAUUCUACCAAAGUAGCAAUGUUAUGUUACAUAUGAAUAUUCUAUGUUUAUUUGAUACGAUACGAGCGCAUUCGCAAACAUUAUUUUCAUUAACCCAUUCCCUCAUGAAAGAUUACUGAGCGUGCAUACACGAAAUAAGUACAAAAAUAAAAGUUGCCAUCAACAAACCGAAAAACACGGAAACAAAACACGGUGCAAAAAUUCGCACCGCAGGAAGAAUGUUUAGCCAGAAAUCUGGCAGGCAUAGAACAGACUCGGAUUUGACAGGCGUCAAACCUAAACCUCAAAGGUUGGCAGCAUUGAACUGUCAUUGCGCUUCCGGAAAACUGCACAGAAAGUGCAAGGAAAAAAAGAAAAAGUGCGCCAUUGGUGUGACGAACGCCGCUCCCCGGAGAAGCAACGAUUUGCGGACAAAUUUGAAGCUACGCUCCGCGGAAAGAGCCAGGAACACCGCUCGAUCCCAGAAUCGGGAGGAGACGAGAACGGCACGCUAAACGAGGAGUCGUCGUGAAUCCACCAAUUGGUCGCCACAAAAUCCGCCAAUCGAUUCCGUGCACGUCGGGCGAAGAGUGGCUAGUUCCGAGCCACAGCAAAGACAGACAGGAAGAGAGCAAGAUAAAAAAAGGGGUCAGACAUGUGCUGUAAGUACCCAACAAUACAGAAAAAGAGUUCAUGCCUGACCAAGAUAUUUUUGUUCCGACAGGACCCCUUUUGGCUAUUUCCUUUUGGCUUUUGGCCCAUUUAUCCGUUUGGCAUUCUGGCCUUUUUGCUUUUGGCGUUUGCCUUGCUUAGCACCGCAUCAAGGCGCAGCAGCUGGCAGGUGAUCCAAAAACGGUUCUCCGGAAUCACUGCCGAUUCGGAAAAAAAACCCGAGGUGCAAGGUUGGCCUUGGCAGAAGGCACCGAUCGUCCGUUCAUCACCACAUCAGUUGCGGCAACCCUUGGCAUCGCGCUUUUCAUCGCCUGUGGAGUGUUUGUUUUGGCGAGCUUCGGAUCGUUCCCUAUUUUUUCUGCGGAAUUCGCAGUUUUUUUUUCCGGUUUCCCUGGUGCGAAAGUCGGUCAGUGGUCUUGUAAAAGUCCCACGAAAACCACUUCGACCUUGUGAACCAGUGCGUAACUCACUAUUGUGGGCAUAAUUCGCACCAAAAUUUGGCACGAGCCACGAGGAAAGGGAAAAAUAGAUCCGGUAGCCACAUAGAAUUCCCACCGCGCAGCAGUAUUUCAGCGGAUCCAUCGUUACAGCAGUGUGCCCCAUCACAUCUACCACAAGCAGGAGGAAAGUUCGAGUCCACACGCCCACCGGAAUUUGGUCAGCGGAUGACAGGGCAAGGAAGCAAGACGGGACGAACAUGUGCCAUAGUGGAAAUCUUCGCAGCUCAAGGAAACCCAACCCCGGGCCCAAUAAAAAGGAGCAACAAACCAGAACUAGCAACGUAAGUCGCCUUUAAGUUCUUUCUUUCCAUGGGGAGGCAAACAUAAAUGGGUAACUACUAGGAAAUUUCGCAAUCAUCAAAUUAAGAUUGCACUGAAAUUGUU